rnacentral:rRNA from 1 species
GACGAACGCUGGCGGCGUGCUUAACCCAUGCAAGUCGAACGGAAAGGCCCUGCUUUUGUGGGGUGCUCGAGUGGCGAACGGGUGAGUAACACGUGAGUAACCUGCCCUUGACUUUGGGAUAACUUCAGGAAACUGGGGCUAAUACCGGAUAGGAGCUCCUGCUGCAUGGUGGGGGUUGGAAAGUUUCGGCGGUUGGGGAUGGACUCGCGGCUUAUCAGCUUGUUGGUGGGGUAGUGGCUUACCAAGGCUUUGACGGGUAGCCGGCCUGAGGGGGUGACCGGCCACAUUGGGACUGAGAUACGGCCCAGACUCCUACGGGAGGCAGCAGUGGGGAAUAUUGCACAAUGGGCGGAAGCCUGAUGCAGCAACGCCGCGUGCGGGAUGACGGCCUUCGGGUUGUAAACCGCUUUCGCCUGUGACGAAGCGUGAGUGACGGUAAUGGGUAAAGAAGCACCGGCUAACUACGUG